rnacentral:rRNA from 1 species
UGGGAUGACGUCAAGUCCUCAUGGCCCUUAUAGUGGGGCUACACACGUCAUACAAUGGCUGGUACAAAGGGUUGCCAACCCGCAGGGGGAGCUAAUCCCAUAAAACCAGUCGUAGUCCGGAUCGCAGUCUGCAACUCGACUGCGUGAAGUCGGAAUCGCUAGUAAUCGUGGAUCAGAAUGUCACGGUGAAUACGUUCCCGGGUCUU